rnacentral:rRNA from 1 species
CACGUAGGGCGCAAGCGUUGUCCGGAAUUAUUGGGCGUAAAGAGCUCGUAGGCGGUCUGUUGCGUCUGCUGUGAAAACCCGGGGCUUAACCCCUGGCUUGCAGUGGAUACGGACAGACUAGAGGUAGGUAGGGGAGAAUGGAAUUCCCGGUGUAGCGGUGAAAUGCGCAGAUAUCGGGAGGAACACCGGUGGCGAAGGCGGUUCUCUGGGCCUGACCUGACGCUGAGGAGCGAAAGCGCGGGGAGCGAACCGG